rnacentral:rRNA from 1 species
UUCGCAAUGCCCGAAAGGGUGACGAAGCGACGCCGCGUGAGCGAAGAAGGCCCUAGGGUUGUAAAGCUCUGUCAGGGGUUAUGAAACGCAGACUAGCUAAUACCUAGUUUGUUUGACAAAGGCCCCAAAGGAAGCCACGGCUAACUCUGUGCCAGCAGCCGCGGUAAUACAGAGGUGGCAAGCGUUGUUCGGAAUUAUUGGGCGUAAAGAGCACGUAGGUGGAUUUGUAAGUCAGAUGUGAAAGCCUUCUGUUCAACGGGAGAAUUGCAUCUGAAACUACAAACCUUGAGUAUAGGAGGGGAGAAUGGAACUUCUGGUGGAGCGGUGAAAUGCGUAGAUAUCAGAAGGAACGCCGGCGGCGAAAGCGAUUCUCUGGCCUAUUACUGACACUCAGUGUGCGAAAGCUAGGGGAGCAAACGGGAUUAGAUACCCCGGUAGUCCUAGCCGUAAACGAUGGGCACUAAGUAGAGGGGUUUU